GACGAACGCUGGCGGCGUGCCUAAUACAUGCAAGUUGAGCGCUGAAGGUUGGUACUUGUACCCACUGGAUGAGCAGCGAACGGGUGAGUAACGCGUGGGGAAUCUGCCUUUGAGCGGGGGACAACAUUUGGAAACGAAUGCUAAUACCGCAUAAAAACUUUAAACACAAGUUUUAAGUUUGAAAGAUGCAAUUGCAUCACUCAAAGAUGAUCCCGCGUUGUAUUAGCUAGUUGGUGAGGUAAAGGCUCACCAAGGCGAUGAUACAUAGCCGACCUGAGAGGGUGAUCGGCCACAUUGGGACUGAGACACGGCCCAAACUCCUACGGGAGGCAGCAGUAGGGAAUCUUCGGCAAUGGACGAAAGUCUGACCGAGCAACGCCGCGUGAGUGAAGAAGGGUGUCGGAUCGUAAAACUCUGUUGGUAGAGAAGAACGUUGGUGAGAGUGGAAAGCUCAUCAAGUGACGGUAACUACCCAGAAAGGGACGGCUAACUACGUG
rnacentral:rRNA from 1 species